rnacentral:rRNA from 1 species
AAAGAAAGCGUAAUAGCUCACUGGUCGAGUCGGCCUGCGCGGAAGAUGUAACGGGGCUAAACCAUGCACCGAAGCUGCGGCAGCGACACUCAGGUGUUGUUGGGUAGGGGAGCGUUCUGUAAGCCUGCGAAGGUGGCCUGUGAGGGUUGCUGGAGGUAUCAGAAGUGCCAGUGAUGACAUAAGUAACGAUAAAGCGGGUGAAAAGCCCGCUCGCCGGAAGACCAA